GACGAACGCUGGCGGCGUGCCUAAUACAUGCAAGUCGAACGCAGUGGGGACGGGUGAGUAACACGUGGGUAACCUCCCAUCAGAGGGGAUAACCCUUGGAUACAGGUGCUAAACCGAUACUGAUGGAUGGACCCGCGGUGAAUUAGCUAGUUGGUGAGGUAACGGCUUAGCAAGGCCACGAUGCAUAGCCGGUCUGAGAGGGUGACCGGCCACACUGGGACUGAGACACGGCCCAGACUCCUACGGGAGGCAGCAGUGGGGAAUCUUGGGCAAUGGACGAAAGUCUGAUCGAGCAACGCCGCGUGAGUGAAGAAGGUUUUCGGGUCGUAAAACUCUGUUGUCGGAGAAGCGGUAUCCACCCAGGAAGCAACGGCUAACUACGUGCCAGCCGCCGCGGUAAUAC
rnacentral:rRNA from 1 species